AGCAUUUAUCGAAGAAUCCCGUUGUUGAAGGUAGUACGGAACAACAUGUUAUGUUAUACACUCGAGGGCUUGCUUUUCUCAUACUUGGGGGGGUUAUGUGUCCCGACCACACUGGAGAUACUAUUCCGAUGAUGUAUUUGAGACAUCUAGAGGAUCUUAACGAAGUAAGGAAUUACAGUUGGGGUUCUUGUGUUCUAUCAAUCCUCUACAGUGAGUUGUGCAAAGCGUCGACAAAAGGAGCAAAAGAAAUAGUGGUCCAAUUCAACUAUUACAGAUGUGGGCAUGGAUGCGGAUUCCUCCAUCGAGACCCAGACAACUUCCUGGAAAAUGGGGCACUACUCUUGAGAUAAGCGGUUAUCAGUUUACCGUACCUUCUUAUGGUGCACAGUAAUAGUUUCAAGUGUUAUUAUUAAAUUCAAAUAUUAAAAUUCAAGUUACAUGACUUGUGUACAAUUGAAUUGUUGUUCUGUUAAAUACCUUGAUUAUCUAUCUAUACUAUCUAUAAAAGUAUGAAUAAUUGGUAAGGUUUC